UACGGGGGGGGGCAAGCGUUGUUCGGAAUUACUGGGCGUAAAGGGCGCGUAGGCGGCCUGCUAAGUCACACGUGAAAUCCCUCGGCUCAACCGGGGAACUGCGUGUGAUACUGGCGGGCUCGAAUUCGGGAGAGGGAUGUGGAAUUCCAGGUGUAGCGGUGAAAUGCGCAGAUAUCAGGAAGAACACCCGUGGCGAAAGCGGCUCUCUGGAACGGUACUGACGCUGAGACGCGAAAGCGUGGGGAGCGAACAGG
rnacentral:rRNA from 1 species